ensembl:miRNA
UUAGGUUGGUGCAAAAGUUAUUGCGGUUUUUGCCAUUGACAGUAAUGGGAAAACCCACAACUACUUUUGCACCAACUUAAUGAA